GACGGAGGGGGCUAGCGCUGUUCGGAAUGACUGGGUGUAAAGGGCGCGUAGGCGGUAUUUUAAGGGAGGCGUGAAAGCCCUGGGCUUAACCCAGGAGGUGCGUUUCAUACUGGAAUGCUAGAGUGCGAGAGAGGAAAGUGGAAUUCCUAGUGUAGAGGUGAAAUUCGUAGAUAUUAGGAAGAACACCAGAGGCGAAGGCGGCUUUCUGGCUCGCAACUGACGCUGAGGCGCGAAAGCGUGGGGAGCAAACAGG
rnacentral:rRNA from 1 species